rnacentral:rRNA from 1 species
AGAGUUUGAUCCUGGCUCAGGAUGAACGCUGGCGGCGUGCCUAACACAUGCAAGUCGAACGGGGUUAUUUUAGGAAAUUUCCUUCGGGGAAUGGAAUCUUUAACCUAGUGGCGGACGGGUGAGUAACGCGUGAGCAAUCUGCCUUCGGAUGGGGGAUAACAGCCGGAAACGGCUGCUAAUACCGCAUAACACAUGGGAUUCGCAUGUUUCCCAUGUCAAAGAUUUAUCGUCCGGAGAUGAGCUCGCGUCUGAUUAGCUGGUUGGCGGGGUAACGGCCCACCAAGGCGACGAUCAGUAGCCGGACUGAGAGGUUGAACGGCCACAUUGGGACUGAGACACGGCCCAGACUCCUACGGGAGGCAGCAGUGGGGAAUAUUGCGCAAUGGGGGCAGCCCUGACGCAGCAACGCCGCGUGAUUGAAGAAGGCCUUCGGGUUGUAAAGAUCUUUAAUCGGGGACGAAUUUUGACGGUACCCGAAGAAUAAGCUCCGGCUAACUACGUG